rnacentral:rRNA from 1 species
UAACGGCGAGUGAAGCAGCAAUAGCUCAAAUUUGAAAUCUGGCGUCUUCGACGUCCGAGUUGUAAUUUGUAGAGGAUGCUUCUGAGUAACCACCGACCUAAGUUCCUUGGAACAGGACGUCAUAGAGGGUGAGAAUCCCGUAUGCGGUCGGAAAGGUGCUCUAUACGUAGCUCCUUCGACGAGUCGAGUUGUUUGGGAAUGCAGCUCUAAAUGGGAGGUAAAUUUCUUCUAAAGCUAAAUAUUGGCCAGAGACCGAUAGCGCACAAGUAGAGUGAUCGAAAGAUGAAAAGCACUUUGGAAAGAGAGUUAAAAAGCACGUGAAAUUGUUAAAAGGGAAGGGAUUGCAACCAGACUUGCUCGCGGUGUUCCGCCGGUCUUCUGACCGGUCUACUCGCCGCGUUGCAGGCCAGCAUCGUCUGGUGCCGCUGGAUAAGACUUGAGGAAUGUAGCUCCCUCGGGAGUGUUAUAGCCUCUUGUGAUGCAGCGAGCGCCGGGCGAGGUCCGCGCUUCGGCUAGGAUGCUGGCGUAAUGGUCGUAAUCCGCCCGUCUUGAAACACGGACCAAGGAGUCUAACAUCUAUGCGAGUGUUCGGGUGUCAAACCCCUACGCGUAAUGAAAGUGAACGGAGGUGAGAACCGCAAGGUGCAUCAUCGACCGAUCCUGAUGUCUUCGGAUGGAUUUGAGUAAGAGCAUAGCUGUUGGGACCCGAAAGAUGGUGAACUAUGCCUGAAUAGGGUGAAGCCAGAGGAAACUCUGGUGGAGGCUCGCAGCGGUUCUGACGUGCAAAUCGAUCGUCAAAUUUGGGUAUAGGGGCGAAAGACUAAUCGAACCAU